rnacentral:ncRNA from 2 species
CGACCCCGUGCGGGAGAGUCCUCCGGCGAACACCGCGGAGGCGCCGAAGGAGCAAAUCCUCCCCGGAAUCUCUCAGGCCCCCGUACCGCACGGACGAG